rnacentral:rRNA from 1 species
AUUGAACGCUGGCGGCAUGCUUUUACACAUGCAAGUCGAACGGCAGCACGGGGGGGUAACUCUCUGGUGGCGAGUGGCGAACGGGUGAGUAAUGCAUCGGAACGCGUCCUGUAAUGGGGGAUAACCUGCCGAAAGGUGGGCUAAUACCGCAUACGUCCUGAGGGAGAAAGCGGGGGAUUGGCAACGACCUCGCGUUACAGGAGCGGCCGAUGUCGGAUUAGCUAGUUGGUGAGGUAAAGGCUCACCAAGGCGACGAUCUGUAGCGGGUCUGAGAGGAUGAUCCGCCACACUGGAACUGAGACACGGUCCAGACUCCUACGGGAGGCAGCAGUGGGGAAUUUUGGACAAUGGGGGCAACCCUGAUCCAGCCAUGCCGCGUGAGUGAAGAAGGGCCUUCGGGUUGUAAAGACUCUUUCGGUCCGGGAACGGAAAGUCGCAAUGGGCUAAUACCCUGUGCGGAUGACGGUACCGGCAUAAGAAGCACCGGCUAACUACGUGCCAGCCAGCCGAC